rnacentral:rRNA from 1 species
CGAGCCUGAUGCAGCGACGCCGCGUGCGGGAUGACGGCCUUCGGGUUGUAAACCGCUUUUGACAGGGACGAAGCGCAAGUGACUGUACCUGUAGAAUAAGGACCGGCCAACUACGUGCCAGCAGCCGCGGUAAUACGUAGGGUCCGAGCGUUGUCCGGAAUUACUGGGCGUAAAGAGCUUGUAGGCGGUUCGUCGCGUCGUUUGUGAAAACUUGGGGCUCAACCUUAAGCUUGCAGGCGAUACGGGCGGACUAGAGUACUUCAGGGGAGACUGGAAUUCCUGGUGUAGCGGUGAAAUGCGCAGAUAUCAGGAGGAACACCGGUGGCGAAGGCGGGUCUCUGGGAAGUAACUGACGCUGAGAAGCGAAAGCAUGGGUAGCAAACAGGAUUAGAUACCCUGGUAGUCCAUGCCGUAAACGGUGGGUACUAGGUGUGGGGCUCCUUCCACGGACUCCGUGCCGUAGCUAACGCAUUAAGUACCCCGCCUGGGGAGUACGGCCGCAAGGCUAAAACUCAAAGAAAUUGACGGGGGCCCGCACAAGCGGCGGAGCAUGUGGAUUAAUUCGAUGCAACGCGAAGAACCUUACCUGGGUUUGACAUACACCGGAAACCUGCAGAGAUGUAGGCCCCCUUGUGGUCGGUGUACAGGUGGUGCAUGGCUGUCGUCAGCUCGUGUCGUGAGAUGUUGGGUUAAGUCCCGCAACGAGCGCAACCCUUAUCUUAUGUUGCCAGCGCGUAAUGGCGGGGACUCGUGAGAGACUGCCGGGGUCAACUCGGAGGAAGGUGGGGACGACGUCAAGUCAUCAUGCCCCUUAUGUCCAGGGCUUCACACAUGAUACAAUGGCCGGUACAGAA